GACGAACGCUGGCGGCGUGCUUAACACAUGCAAGUCGAGCGGAAAGGCCCUUCGGGGUACUCGAGCGGCGAACGGGUGAGUAACACGUGAGCAAUCUGCCCCUAGCUUCGGGAUAGCUCCGGGAAACCGGAAUUAAUACCGAAUAUGACUCCGGCCGACAUCGGCUGUGGUGGAAAACUUUUGCGGCUAGGGAUGAGCUCGCGGCCUAUCAGCUUGUUGGUGGGGUAAUGGCCUACCAAGGCGACGACGGGUAGCCGGCCUGAGAGGGCG
rnacentral:rRNA from 1 species